rnacentral:rRNA from 1 species
UACGAAGGGGGCUAGCGUUGCUCGGAAUCACUGGGCGUAAUGCGCACGUAGGCGGAUUGCUAAGUCAGGGGUGAAAUCCUGGAGCUCAACUCCAGAACUGCCUUUGAUACUGGCGACCUUGAGUCCGGGAGAGGUGAGUGGAACUGCGAGUGUAGAGGUGAAAUUCGUAGAUAUUCGGAAGAACACCAGUGGCGAAGGCGGCUCACUGGACCGGCAUUGACGCUGAGGUGCGAAAGCGUGGGGAGCAAACAGGG